UACGGAGGGUGCAAACGUUGUCCGGAAUCACUGGGCGUAAAGCGCAUGUAGGUGGUUUGGUAAGUGGGCGAUUAAAGACCGAGGCUUAACCUCGGGACUGUUGCCUAUACUGCCUGACUUGAGUAUGACAGGGGUAAGCGGAACUUUAGGUGUAGGAGUGAAAUCCGUAGAUAUCUAAAGGAACACCAAUGGCGAAGGCAGCUUACUAGGUCGUUACUGACACUGAGAUGCGAAAGCGUGGGGAGCGAACGGG
rnacentral:rRNA from 1 species